ACAGUUAUGGCCGAGUGGUUAAGUCGAUAGACUUGAAAUCUAUUCCUCUCUAAGGGCAUAGGUUCGAACCCUACCAACUGCG
rfam:Daphnia pulex DAPPTscaffold_68_Cont3448, whole genome shotgun sequence.